rnacentral:rRNA from 1 species
GACAAGAAGACCCUAUGAAUUUUUUCAAAGACCUUUCUUGUUUGGAUCUUUGAAAAAAUUCAAGAAAGGUUUUUGAUUAAUUGGGGUGAUUUUUAAAUUUUAAAAAACUUUAGAAGUGUAUUACUAGAUCCAAUAUUAUUGAUGAUUUAAAAAAAAUACUCUAGGGAUAACAGCGUUAUUACUUUGGAUAGUUCAUAUAGAUAAAGUAGAUUGCGACCUCGAUGUUGGAUUAGGAUACCUUUAUUAAUGAAGAAGUUAUAAAAGGAGGUUUGCUCAACCUUCAAAUUCCUACAUGAUCUGAGUUCAGACCG